GGCAAUUUUCUAGGUCUGUUAGCAAAUGGAUGAUCUCAUCGCACCAGCUACAAUAUUUCAAUUUGGCAUCCGAUGAUCGUUUAAGGGCAACAACAUCUUUCACAAAUUGCUCAAGAAUUCCAUCCAUCCUCCUUGAUAGCUAUGAUAACCUCUUCCCAUAUGUUAGGGACUGCAUUGAUUGAUCGGAGUACCUUGAAUGUUUGAGCACACCAGGUUUGGAAUCCCUUGACUCAUAUAAUGAAAAUAAAUUAAGCUUGAUCCAACCCCAAAAUUAAUUUUUUUUUCUUGUUUCAAGAUACAGGGGAAAGGG
rnacentral:misc_RNA from 1 species